GAUGAAGAACGUAGUGAAAUGCGAUAAGUAGUGUGAAUUGCAGAAUUCAGUGAAUCAUCGAAUCUUUGAACGGACAUUGCGCCCCUUGGUAUCCCGAGGGGCAUGCCUGUUCGAGCGUCAUUUCACCACUCAAGCCUGGCUUGGUGUUGGGCGACGUCCUCUUUGGGGACGCGCCUCGAAACGCUCGGCGGCGUGGCACCGGCUUUAAGCGUAGCAGAAUCUUUCGCUUUGGAAGUCGGGGCCCCGUCUGCCGGAAGACCUGCUCGCAAGGUUGACCUCGGAUCAGGCAGGGAUACCCGCUGAACUUAAGCAUAUCAAUAAGCGGAGGA
rnacentral:misc_RNA from 1 species